AUUGAACGCUGGCGGAAUGCUUUACACAUGCAAGUCGAACGGCAGCACGGACUUCGGUCUGGUGGCGAGUGGCGAACGGGUGAGUAAUGUAUCGGAACGUGCCCAGUCGUGGGGGAUAACGUAGUGAAAAUUACGCUAAUACCGCAUACGAUCUAUGGAUGAAAGCGGGGGAUCGCAAGACCUCGCGCGAUUGGAGCGGCCGAUAUCAGAUUAGGUAGUUGGUGGGGUAAAGGCCCACCAAGCCAACGAUCUGUAGCUGGUCUGAGAGGACGACCAGCCACACUGGAACUGAGACACGGUCCAGACUCCUACGGGAGGCAGCAGUGGGGAAUUUUGGACAAUGGGCGAAAGCCUGAUCCAGCCACUCCGCGUGCAGGAUGAAGGCCCUCGGGUUGUAAACUGCUUUUGCACAGAACGAAAAGGUUUCUACUAAUACUAGGAGCUCAUGACGGUACUGUAAGAAUAAGCACCGGCUAACUACGUGCCAGCAGCCGCGGUAA
rnacentral:rRNA from 1 species